rnacentral:misc_RNA from 1 species
GAUGAAGAACGCAGCGAAAUGCGAUGAGUAAUGUGAAUUGCAGAAUUCAGUGAAUCAUCGAAUCUUUGAACGCACAUUGCGCCCGUCAGUAUUCUGGCGGGCAUGCCUGUUCGAGCGUCAUUACGCCCCUCAAGUCCCCUGUGGACUUGGUGUUGGGGAUCGGCGAGGCUGGUUUUCCAGCACAGCCGUCCCUUAAAUUAAUUGGCGGUCUCGCCGUGGCCCUCCUCUGCGCAGUAGUAAAACACUCGCAACAGGAGCCCGGCGCGGUCCACUGCCGUAAAACCCCCCAACUUUUUAUAGUUGACCUCGAAUCAGGUAGGACUACCCGCUGAACUUAAGCAUAUCAAUAAGCGGAGGA